rnacentral:rRNA from 1 species
UGCAGUCGAGCGAGAAGGCCUUCGGGCUGAGUACAGCGGCGGACGGGUGAGUAACGCGUAGGAAUCUACCCGGUAGUGGGGGACAACAUGGUGAAAACCAUGCUAAUACCGCAUACGCCCUAUGGGGGAAAGCGGGGGACCUUCGGGCCUCGUGCUAUCGGAUGAGCCUGCGUUGGAUUAGCUUGUUGGUGAGGUAAAGGCUCACCAAGGCGACGAUCCAUAGCUGGUCUGAGAGGAUGAUCAGCCACACUGGGACUGAGACACGGCCCAGACUCCUACGGGAGGCAGCAGUGGGGAAUAUUGCGCAAUGGGGGCAACCCUGACGCAGCCAUGCCGCGUGUGUGAAGAAGGCCUUAGGGUUGUAAAGCACUUUCAAUUGGGGA